GAUGAAGAACGUAGCGAAAUGCGAUACGUAAUGUGAAUUGCAGAAUUCAGUGAAUCAUCGAAUCUUUGAACGCAUAUUGCGCUCUCUGGUAUUCCGGAGAGCAUGCUUGUUUGAGUAUCAGUAAACACCUCAACUCUUUUUUCUUUUUUGAAAUUGGAGCUGGACUUGAGUGAUCCCAACGCUUUCUUCCAAGAAAGUGGCGGGUUGCUUGAAAUGCAGGUGCAGCUGAACUUUUCUCUGAGCUAUAAGCAUAUCUAUUUAGUCUGCCUAAAAAACAGAUUAUUACCUUUGCUGCAGCUAACAUAAAGGAGACUAGUUCUUGUGCUGACUGAUGCAGGAUUCACAGAGACAGCUUAGGCUGACUUUGUAAACUCGAUCUCAAAUCAAGUAAGACUACCCGCUGAACUUAAGCAUAUCAAUAAGCGGAGGA
rnacentral:misc_RNA from 1 species